rnacentral:ncRNA from 2 species
ACGUUCUCAACGGGGUGCGGCCUGCCACAAGCAAGCCGCUGAGAGAGACCCGUCGAACCUGAUUCGGUUAAUACCGACGUAGGGAUUUGAGAGGCCUCUGUGC